UACGAAGGGUGCAAGCGUUACUCGGAAUUACUGGGCGUAAAGCGUGCGUAGGCGGUUUGUUAAGUCCGUUGUGAAAGCCCUGGGCUCAACCUGGGAAUUGCAGUGGAUACUGGCGAGCUAGAGUGCGGUAGAGGAUGGUGGAAUUCCCGGUGUAACAGUGAAAUGCGUAGAGAUCGGGAGGAACACCAGUGGCGAAGGCGGCCUUCUGGACCAAUACUGACGCUCAUGCACGAAAGCGUGGGGAGCAAACAGG
rnacentral:rRNA from 1 species